rnacentral:rRNA from 1 species
UUGCCUACGGGGGGCAGCAGUGAGGAAUAUUGGUCAAUGGGCGGGAGCCUGAACCAGCCAUGCCGCGUGAAGGCGAGUGCCCUACGGGCGUUAAACUUCUUUUGUGCGGGAGCAAUAAGGGCCACGUGUGGCCCGAUGAGAGUACCGCACGAAUAAGCAUCGGCUAACUCCGUGCCAGCAGCCGCGGUAAUACGGGGGAUGCGAGCGUUAUCCGGAUUUAUUGGGUUUAAAGGGUGCGUAGGCGGAAUAUCAAGUCAGCGGUAAAAAUUCGGGGCUCAACCCCGUCGUGCCGUUGAAACUGAUGU